GGUGAAAGUCAGUAAUGAAGCUGAAAGGUCGCUAAAUGCUGGCAAUUCCUUCUAGAAUUCAAAAGCAUUAAGAUUUAAGUGUGGCUGACUGCCACGGUUACUACUUGAGACCGUCAUUACUAGACUGAAUGAAGAGACGAACAUAGAAAUGAUUCAACUGGUUCAUGGUUCAUACUGGGGGAACAAGGUCCAUGGUUGGGAUC